rnacentral:rRNA from 1 species
GACGAACGCUGGCGGCGUGCUUAACACAUGCAAGUCGAACGGAAAGGCCCUGCUUUUGUGGGGUGCUCGAGUGGCGAACGGGUGAGUAACACGUGGGUAACCUGCCCUUGACUUUGGGAUAACUUCAGGAAACUGGGGCUAAUACCGGAUAGGAGCUCCUGCUGCAUGGUGGGGGGUGGAAAGUUUCGGCGGUUGGGGAUGGACUCGCGGCUUAUCAGCUUGUUGGUGGGGUAGUGGCUUACCAAGGCUUUGACGGGUAGCCGGCCUGAGAGGGUGACCGGCCACAUUGGGACUGAGAUACGGCCCAGACUCCUACGGGAGGCAGCAGUGGGGAAUAUUGCACAAUGGGCGGAAGCCUGAUGCAGCAACGCCGCGUGCGGGAUGACGGCCUUCGGGUUGUAAACCGCUUUCGCCUGUGACGAAGCGUGAGUGACGGUAAUGGGUAAAGAAGCACCGGCUAACUACGUG